UACGAAGGGGGCUAGCGUUGCUCGGAAUCACUGGGCGUAAAGCGCACGUAGGCGGCUUUCUAAGUCAGGGGUGAAAUCCUGGAGCUCAACUCCAGAACUGCCUUUGAUACUGGAAAGCUUGAGUCCGGGAGAGGUGGGUGGAACUGCGAGUGUAGAGGUGAAAUUCGUAGAUAUUCGCAAGAACACCAGUGGCGAAGGCGGCUCACUGGCCCGGUACUGACGCUGAGGUGCGAAAGCGUGGGGAGCAAACAGGG
rnacentral:rRNA from 1 species